rnacentral:rRNA from 1 species
AACGUAGGAGACGAACGUUAUCCGGAGUUACUGGGCGUAAAGGGUGUGUAGGCGGUAUGUUAAGUCUGGCGUGAAAGCUCUCGGCUAAACCGGGAGAGGUCGUUGGAUACUGACACACUAGAGGAUGGUAGAGGCGUGUGGAAUUCCGGGUGUAGUGGUGAAAUGCGUAGAGAGUCCGGAGGAACACCAGUGGCGAAGGCGGCUAACUGGUCCGGUACUGACGGCUGAGGCGCGAAAGCGUGGGGAGCAAACAGG